UGACGGGGACCCGCACAAGCGGUGGAGCAUGUGGUUUAAUUCGAAGCAAACGCGAAGAACCUUACCAAAUCUUGACAUCCUUUGACAACUCUAGAGAUAGAGCUUUCCCCUUCGGGGGACAAAGUGACGAGGUGGUGCAUGGUUGUCGUCAGCUCGUGUCGUGAGAUGUUGGGUUAAGUCCCGCAACGAGCGCAACCCUUAAGCUUAGUUGCCAUCAUUAAGUUGGGCACU
rnacentral:rRNA from 1 species